GCCAGGCACGGUGGCAUGUGCCUGUAGUCCCAGAUACUUGGGAGGCUGAGGCUGGGGGAUCACUUGAGCCCAGGAGUUCUGGGCUGUAGUGCACUAUGUCGAUCAAGUGUCCACACUAAGUUCGGCAUCAAUAUGGUGACUUCCUGGGAGCAGGGACCACCAGGUUGCCUAAGGAGGGGUGAAUCGGCCCAGAUUGGAAAUAGAACAGGUCAAAACUCUGGUGCUGAUCAGUAGUGGGAUCGCAUCUGUGAAUAGCCACUGCACUCCAGCCUGGGCAACAUAGCGAGACCGUGUCUCUU
rnacentral:SRP_RNA from 13 species